AGGAGAGUGGUCAGUGAAAUAAAUAAUUGAAGUGCUCACAAUUCCAUCUUGCUUCUUCCGGGCAUUUUCAAUUGAAAUGAUGAGGUCUCUCCUGAGGACAAAUCCAACAAGCCUUUGGGACUCCCGUGACACCACCACUGGAUAGCCACUGUAGGUGGUUUCAUUGAUUAUGGUCUCAAUGUCUUCUACUGUCAUGCUGUCCUGAGUGAUGACAGUCAGAGGAGGAUCAUUCCUCCGUGGCCUCAUUACAUCCAUUGCAAGUGUCUUGUGUGAGAACUCUUCCUUGGCUUCCAAGAAAGGAUAGCCAUUGAGGCGUAUAUGGGCAUCGUAAAUGCCCUCCCGCCCAAUAGCAUCUGCCACCCACUUGCUGGUCAUGGCUGCUGCCAUCAGAGGAACUAUGUACUCCAGUCCACCAGUGAGCUCAAACAUAAUGACCACUAG
rnacentral:lncRNA from 1 species